UACGAAGGGGGCUAGCGUUGCUCGGAAUUACUGGGCGUAAAGGGCGCGUAGGCGGAUAGUUUAGUCAGAGGUGAAAGCCCCCGGCUCAACUGGGGAGGGUCACGCGAUACUGCUCGACUCGAAGGCAGGAGAGGGAAGUGGAAUUCCCGGUGUAGUGGUGAAAUGCGUAGAUAUCGGGAGGAACACCAAUGGCGAAGGCAGCUUGCUGGGACGGUACUGAUGCUGAGACGCGAAAGCGUGGGGAGCAAACAGG
rnacentral:rRNA from 1 species